rnacentral:rRNA from 1 species
CGAGUGGCGUUUAGCCACACCAGAUUGAGCAAUAACAGGUCUGUGAUGCCCUUAGAUGUCCGGGGCCGCACGCGCGCUACACUGAAGGAAUCAGCGUGGAUGCCUCCCUGGCCCGAAAGGGCUGGGAAACCCGUUGAAUCUCCUUCGUGCUAGGGAUUGGGGCUUGUAAUUCUUCCCCAUGAACGAGGAAUUCCCAGUAAGCGCGAGUCAUAAGCUCGCGUUGAUUACGUCCCUGCCCUUUGUACACACCGCCCGUCGCUACUAUCGAUUGAGCGGUUCAGUGAGGGCCUCGGAUUGGUCUCGGUCUGGUGCGCAAGUGCCGGCACCGCUGGCCGAGAAGAAGCUCGAACUCGAUCGCUUGGAGAAAGUAAAAGUCGUAAUAAGGUUUCCGUAGGUGAAUCUGCGGAAGGAUCAUUA